UUAGCUUUAGUACAUAAAAGCAAUAAUUGUUCAAUCCUAUAAUUUUCCUACAUUCAAUCAUUCAACAACCGACAACGCAAACUAGAUUUUUUUGACAUUUUUUUGUUUUAAUAUUAUUAUGGCCUGGAUGCGAGUCCUUUAAGCCAAAUUUUUUUUGACAUUCCCGAAGGCGUUUUUCUAUUUUAUUAACUGUAUUCGUGAAUCUGUGAGUAAAGCGUGCAUACCACACUUUCGACUUUCUUUUAUAAUCAUAGGGUUCCGUAUGGAAAUACGGACCCCUAAAUUAAGAUCCAUGGUAGGGACGUCACUAUUUUUUACUUUGUCUAUGGAACUGUCAUCUGUCAAAUGAAAUUUGAAUUCACCGCUCCACGCCAUAAAAUUUUCAUCGGAAGAGAAUCUAAGAUUUUCUUCCAAGUAAUCUACGCCCAAUGAAGGAUUAUGGAUGAAAUAAGAAAACCAGCAAUCUCGAUAAUCAACGUGGCCCCUGCUCGAUUUCCAUUCGAUAUCUUCAUCGUGUAACCUCGCGCCUGCUGCACGUCCAUAUUGCGAGGUGCAUUUUGCGUACGUGACGCGAAG